GUGGGGAAUAUUGCACAAUGGGCGCAAGCCUGAUGCAGCGACGCCGCGUGAGGGAUGACGGCCUUCGGGUUGUAAACCUCUUUCAGUAUGGAACAAGGAUCCUUCUUUUGGGGGGUUUGAGGGUACGUGCAGAAGAAGCGCCGGCUAACUACGUGCCAGCAGCCGCGGUAAUACGUAGGGCGCGAGCGUUGUCCGGAUUUAUUGGGCGUAAAGAGCUCGUAGGCGGUUUGUCGCGUCUGCCGUGAAAUUUCCUGGCUUAACUGGGAGCGUGCGGUGGGUACGGGCAGACUGGAGUGCGGUAGGGGAGACUGGAAUUCCUGGUGUAGCGGUGGAAUGCGCAGAUAUCAGGAGGAACACCGGUGGCGAAGGCGGGUCUCUGGGCCGUUACUGACGCUGAGGAGCGAAAGCAUGGGGAGCGAACAGGAUUAGAUACCCUAGUAGUCC
rnacentral:rRNA from 1 species